UACGGAGGGUGCAAGCGUUGUCCGGAAUUAUUGGGCGUAAAGAGCUCGUAGGCGGUUUGUCGCGUCGAAUGUGAAAACCCGGGGCUCAACCCCGGGCCUGCAUUCGAUACGGGCAGACUAGAGUUCGGUAGGGGAGUCUGGAAUUCCAGGUGUAGCGGUGAAGUGCGUAGAUAUCUGGAGGAACACCGGUGGCGAAGGCGGCAUCCUGGACCGGUAUUGACACUGAGGCGCGAAAGCCAGGGGAGCAAACGGG
rnacentral:rRNA from 1 species